rnacentral:lncRNA from 1 species
ACAAAACCCGAGCCUUUUCUCCUAAUCUCGAUCGAAAUUCACAACUCUCUCUCUCUCUCUCUCUCGGUCACAGUUCUUCAACCACAGUUCGUCACAGCUCUCUCUCUCCAUCACGGUCUUUAACUAGAAUUGACUAUUGUUGUGCCUCUGCUUCUCUCGACUAGUGCUAUUGCUGCGCCUGUGAUCUAUCUCGAUUGGUGCUGCUGAUGCUGCUACUGCAUCUCUGCUCGGUCUUAAUUGGUACUGCUGCUGCUCUCGCUCUCUCUCUCUCAAGUUGCUCCUAUAACGAGAUCUAAGCAUAUAUGUUGAGGAUCGACAUUGGCUCACUGGUAUUAUUCUUCUAUUUGGGUAAAUUUUGAGUAAUUAUUAUUUAUCUUGUGCUCUGAUUUCAUUAUUCUUAUAUUUCCAAGCUUCACUUGUCCAUGCGUUUUAAGGAAUAAGAAAAGAAAAGCAGUGUACGAGAAAUAAUAAGAGUGGAAAUGGCAAUGUUGUCAAUGAAGAAGAAACCUUUCAUUUUUGCUUUGGUUCUGUGUCUUAUUAUGGAUAUGGGAUUUGGUGUUGUGUCUUUGUUGCAGAGUUUUGAGAAAGCAAGUUACAGUCGUGGGUUCAGCAAAUCUUUUGGUGAGAUUUUUUAUACUUCUAAUUAUGGAAUUCUUUAACUCACUAACGGCUUGGCUUCUAC